rnacentral:rRNA from 1 species
AGAGUUUGAUCAUGGCUCAGAAUGAACGCUGGCGGCGUGCCUAACACAUGCAAGUCGAGCGAGAAAAUCCCCUUCGGGGGAUGAGUAAAGCGGCGCACGGGUGAGUAACGCGUGGGUAACCUACCCAGGAGUGGGGGAUAACCAGCCGAAAGGCUGACUAAUCCCGCAUACGACCGGCAGGCAUAAGCCUGUUGGGGAAAGAUGGCCUCUGCUUGCAAGCUAUCGCUCUUGGAUGGGCCUGCGUUAGAUUAGCUUGUUGGUGGGGUAAUGGCCUACCAAGGCUGCGAUCUAUAGCUGGUUUGAGAGGACGACCAGCCACACUGGAACUGAGACACGGUCCAGACUCCUACGGGAGGCAGCAGUGAGGAAUAUUGCGCAAUGGGGGAAACCCUGACGCAGCGACGCCGUGUGAGCGAUGAAGGCCUUCGGGUUGUAAAGCUCUGUCAGAGGGGAAGAAAGGGGAUAUGGUUAAUACCCAUGUCCAUUGACGGUACCCUUUGAGGAAGCACCGGCUAACUCCGUGCCAGCAGCCGCGGUAAUACGGAGGGUGCGAGUGUUAUUCGGAAUCACUGGGCGUAAAGAGCACGUAGGCGGAUAGGUAAGUCAGAUGUGAAAUCCCGGGGCUCAACUCCGGAACUGCAUUUGAUACUGCUUGUCUUGAGUGUGGUAGAGGGGGGGUGGAAUUCCCGGUGUAGAGGUGAAAUUCGUAGAUAUCGGGAGGAACACCAGAGGCGAAAGGCGACCCCCUGGGCCACUACUGACGCUGAGGUGCGAAAGCGUGGGGAGCAAACAGGAUUAGAUACCCUGUAGUCCACGCCGUAACGAUGAGUACUAGUGCGGGGGGUAUAACUCCUCCGUGUCGAGCUAACGCAUUAGUACUCCGCUGGGAGUACGUCGCAGCUGAAACUCAAAGGAAUUGACGG